rnacentral:rRNA from 1 species
CCUACGGGAGGCAGCAGUGGGGAAUAUUGGACAAUGGACGAAAGUCUGAUCCAGCAAUGCCGCGUGAAUGAUGAAGGCCUUAGGGUUGUAAAGUUCUUUUAGUGGGGAAGCGGUACCCACAGAAAAAGCACCGGCUAACUUCGUGCCAGCAGCCGCGGUAAUACGAAGGGUGCAAGCGUUGUUCGGAAUUACUGGGCGUAAAGCGCGCGUAGGCGGUUUGAUAAGUUGGAAGUGAAAUCCCAGAGCUUAACUCUGGAAUUGCUUUCAAAACUGUCAAGCUAGAGUAUGGCAGGGGACAGUGGAAUUCCUAGUGUAGAGGUGAAAUUCGUAGAUAUUAGGAGGAACACCAGUGGCGAAAGCGACUGUCUGGACCAUACUGACGCUGAGGCGCGAAAGCGUGGGGAGCAAACAGGAUUAGAUACCCUUGUAGUC